GGUAAAAUGACUGAAUUAAGGUGAUAAACUGUAAAUUUAUUUAUGAGAAAGUUUCUCUUUUACCA
rnacentral:tRNA from 1 species